GAAGAAGGGGGAACUCUGAGGAGCUGAAAGGGGGCAGUACAAACUAGCCACGAGCCUCUCACACACCGACCCACCGGAGUACAGUUUGGGGAAGGACCUUUCCUGUUUCAGCGUGACAAUGUCCCUGUGCACAAAGCAAGGUCCAUACAGAAAUGGCUUAUCAAGAUCGGUAUGGAAGAACUUGACUGUCCUGCACAGAGCCCUGACCUCAACCCCAUCGAACACCUUUGGGAUGAAUUGGAAAGUCAUCGGCGAGCCAGGCCUGAUAUGCCAAACAUCAGACGAUCGACCUCACUAAUGCUCUUGUGGCUGAAUGGAAGCAAGUCCCCACAGCAAUGUUCCAACAUCUAGUGGAAAGCCUUCCCAGAGGAGCUGAGGCUGUCAUAGCAGUAAAGGUUGUAGUGUUCCAGACCCCCGGGGGACACUGCACGGGCUCGGAGACACAGCGCCAGCGGAGAUCAGCCUCUCGAGACAACAACAGCUUUACUCUACCCUGAAUCCUACAGCACCAUGUUUUACCAAACACUCCUUCAAUAGGGACUGGAGAGACAGAUCACCCAGACUAACAGUUGAAAUAUCACCCAGACUGGAUAAACAACCUAUUCCCCUUAACAUAGACAUUGUAAUCUCCCCCCGAAACAACCUAAAUAAACCAACUGAACUCUGCUGCCUGAGUCUCAGCUCUAACGGAAGCCAUCUGGAUGAGAUUAUCGGCCGGCGGAGCUCGGCGAUCCUGACUGCUCUUAGCAGUGACCUUUCUAGAGUGAAAUGGUGUUUCUCACUUCGUCUGAACCAAACAGCAGGACGCUUUGAAACAUUUCCACCACUGUCACCCCCUUCUCGUUGUUGUUGAGUAAUGGUCUUCCAAGAUAAAGAGCUGCUUGCUUUCUCAACACGAAAAAUUAUCUGUCUAGUAGAGAUUGCAAUGCAGUCAACAGGCAUGUUUUGGUGGCUGGACUAAGAAAUAAAAACAAAAGAAAGAUUUGAAAGAAAAAGGGGUGAGGAAGAGACGAGAAGCGUCGGGGUUUUUGGAGAAAGAAAAAGAUUGAGAGGGAGGGAAGACAGACACAAACAGAAAUAGGAAUGUUUUAUCAGUCUUUCUUCUUUAGCUGGAGAUUUGCAGUAGAGCACAUCGUUAUUGUGAAAGCGUCUUGGCUGUGGUCCAUGGGAACUGAUCCAGAGUGCUCUGUGUCUGUGGAACUCCCAGCCUGCUUUAGUCUCCCGGGAGGUCCCUGAUACUGUUUCUGGUAAGUCCUGAGUAAUACUGUGUAGUAACAGUGUGUCAGAACCAGAGGAACAGCACACUUCUCCCGUCCGUCAGCCUCCCUCCCUGCAAGCUACAAGACUAAAGGAAACAUUGAGGAGGAUUACUACAGAAAGAGAAAUGUCCAGCGGUAGAAGAAGCAAUAUGGACAGCUAAGAUUCUCCUUAUCCCCACUGGUGAUUCCCUUUUUUUCUCCAAACACUCCCCAAACGCUCCCCAAACGGUGAUCCUCAAACUGACAUACAGACCAAGCCAGGCAGGGCUGCAGACAGUCUGGGUAGAAGAAGAGACAGAAAGUGUGGAGCAAACCAGAGGAGAACAAGAGAGACUCCAGAACUCCCCAGCAGAGCAGCAAAGCUCCCCCAGAUCGAGGCACCUUCCUGGGGGUAGAGAUGGAGACGGAGAGGGGUCAUAUGUCUUUGAGGAGGGGGGUAAGCUGGAGCCCAGGUGGGGGGAGGAAGUCCCUUCAGGGGGGGCAGGGCAGGGAUGUGGACACCGGCAACAGAGAGAGCAAUGCAUCUUGGGAGAAGCGGGACAACAGAGGAAUCAAAGGACAGGUGACAUCGACCUCCACCAAUCAGCUGGCUCGGAAAACCAACCUGACACGUAGCGCCAGCCUAUCAGAGAAGGAGUUGAAGGAGGCGAGGGUGAGGUCACAGAUCAUCGCUGCCCAGUUGACCGUCCCCGUCUGGCUGCUCCAACUCCCGCGGAGUCCAGCUCUUCAACCGCCGCCAGCAGAGAGUCAACGCCUUCACGCUAGAGAGCUGCGGGGAAAGAACAAGGGAAGAGGAGCGAGAGGAGAGAGACGGAGAUACCAGGAACAACAACCUGACAUGGGAAGAAGAGCGAGGGGGACCUAGUGAGGGGACAGACAGACAACUGAACUGCAGCAGGAUAAAACAACCACUCUGGUCGCCACCCUCUGGAAGUGAGUUCGCCGGAAGUGACGUCAUGAAGGACCCAGGUGACGAGCACAUCUACGAGGAAGUGGAAACAGUGACACAGGAGAGACACUUCCAGCCGGUGAACGAGAGACAAGGGGAGGAGGAAGAGAGGAGUGGAGAGAGAGAAAGAGAGGAAAUAUACGAGGAUAUUGAGGGUGAAGUGAAGGAUGAGAUUAUGUCAGUAAAUGAAAACAACACUGGUCCAGUCAGAGAGGAAGUGGGGAUGAAU